rnacentral:rRNA from 1 species
UACGUAGGGACCGAGCGUUGUCCGGAUUCAUUGGGCGUAAAGAGCUCGUAGGCGGCUAUUCAAGUCGAACGUGAAAUCUCGGAGCUCAACUCCGAAACUGCGUUCGGUACUGGGUAGCUAGAGUCUGGUAGGGGGAUCUGGAAUUCCUGGUGUAGCGGUGGAAUGCGCAGAUAUCAGGAGGAACACCGGUGGCGAAGGCGGGAUCCUGGGCCAGUACUGACGCUGAGGAGCGAAAGCGUGGGGAGCAAACAGG